GACAGAGGGUGCAAACGUUGCUCGGAAUCACUGGGCGUAAAGGGCUCGUAGGUGGCCAACUAAGUCAGACGUGAAAUCCCUAGGCUUAACCUAGGAACUGCGUCGGAUACUGGAUGGCUUGAAUCCGGGAGAGGGAUGCGGAAUUCCAGGUGUAGCGGUGAAAUGCGUAGAUAUCUGGAGGAACACCGGUGGCGAAGGCGGCAUCCUGGACCGGUAUUGACACUGAAAAGCGAAAGCCAGGGGAGCAAACGGG
rnacentral:rRNA from 1 species